ACGUCCUAGCACUAAAGGACUGCCACCAGGAUGUGAGAGAAGGAUAAUUUGAAGAUUUGAGUAAUUAACCCAAGACUCCUAGGAUGCCGUCUCUUGGAAGGGAGCGAUUUUGCUGUGGAGUCGGCCGCUGUCAAGCACUAACUUCUUAAUAAUGGAGCCUUUCAGACCCUCCGCCAUUGGCACAAUGAUGUACUUCAAGCUAGUGGCUUGGCAGAGUGUAAGCAGACCACUUCUAUUCUUCCUUUACACAAAAUGGUCCUCUUGAUCUCUGGGUUGGAGCUAUUUUUAUUUUAGUUUGGUUCUUUUCUGCUUUUUAACUUGGGGAGCAAGGCUUUCUCUUAUAUUUUGAUCCACUGCUUAAUCUGUUGCCUUGCCCACCCCGCCCCCUAAAGACCCGCAAAAAAGACUCCCUUCCCAAGAUCAGCAACUAGUCUCCCUUUCAGUAGAUUUAGAAUCCUGCCUUUGAGAAAGGCUGGGGACUCAGCUGCUAGAGGAACUAGGAGCUUGCUUCUCUGAUCCCAGUACACUUCCUGCUAUUAACAUGGUAAUGUCCCUGGCACAGCUCUGGGGACAAUCACACCUGCAAUUAAAAGCCAAAUUAGGACAUAUCUUUUCUUGGCAAAUGGGACCCACAGAAAUCUGAGGACAGCUGCAACCAGCACCAUGCCCACCAUCCACCUGCCUUUAAAUGCACCCUCCUUCCCAAGCCCUUAGCACAGAAAGGAACUAUAUAUUGCAGGGGCUUUGUUUGUUUCUUAACUUGAUGAAUUGGUGCAUUUUAAAUGGCGUGCAAAUGCUUAGCAAAUACUUCUGUAACAAGCACUGAGACACAUCGAGGCCAGUUUUCCAUGGGUAUUAUACCCAAGAUUGAAAGUAUAACAUCUAACUAUAGAUCCAUAGAACAUCUAAGAUAACUAUGCACUCAUAAAUAACAGCCUGGAAAACCAGUCAUAUACAGCUAAAUCACUUGACAGUUAAACUUCCUCAAAAGUCAAGAAAACACUUGACAUUUAGAAGUAAUUUAUAGCUAAAUUUUCUCUCGUGUCAAGGAUUCCAAAACACCCCUUACUUUUGCUUCACUUGUAAGCAAAGUUGGUUUUUAGUUGCUGGAUCAUUUCAAAAGUAUACCCAUUGG
rnacentral:lncRNA from 1 species